UACGAAGGGGGCGAGCGUUGUUCGGAAUUACUGGGCGUAAAGCGCGCGUAGGCGGCUUUGUAAGUCGGAUGUGAAAUCCCCGGGCUUAACCUGGGAACUGCAUUCGAGACUGCAUAGCUAGAGUAUGGGAGAGGGAAGUGGAAUUUCAGGUGUAGCGGUGAAAUGCGUAGAUAUCUGAAGGAACAUCAGUGGCGAAAGCGACUUCCUGGACCAAUACUGACGCUCAUGUGCGAAAGCGUGGGGAGCAAACAGG
rnacentral:rRNA from 1 species